ACAAAAAAAAAACGCUUUUUACACAGUCAGAACAGGAUGGUUCUGGCGUUAUCCUGAUAUUUCAAAAGAAACUAGGGCAGAAUACUCUUGUGGAGCUUCCGUUCAUGAGGAUAGUUAACAGAGCUAGAGGAUUGCUGUGAAGUUGAAGUAACAGUGGAGAAUCGUGAAUAUAAUUUUAAUGUUAGCAGGAUAUGGUUUGAAUAUGGGAGCUGACAACUCUUAGGGAAGAAGUUCAUAAUUUUUUACAGAGAUCUUUUUUUAACAAACGUAUUUACCUAUGGUUGAUAUACAUAAUAUAUAACGUACGUAUCCCACUACUGUUUUUACAAUUAAAUGCCAUAUGUUAAAUGUAUAGUACCUCUAUUCCAUACUGACAUGUCCUAAAAGUGAAGAGAAGAACGAGUUGAAGAAUUAAAAAAGAUAUAUGCCUAAAAGAAAAGUACUAAAAAAAGAUUGAUUCAACUUGCAAGAGAAAAUUCAAUGAAAAUGUUCAUUGAUAAUUUUAGUGCCGCUGUUUGUAAAACAUUACAACCUCUUCAGGAAUGUAUUCUACGAAAGCAGGAAGGACGGUCCUACCCUCUUCAUGAAAUAAGCAUUGUCGAAGCAUGAGAUUAGAACAAAGAAAAGGGCAGUUAAAGUUUCAAUGGAUAUCAUCGUGGAAUUUUUAGUGGCUAUGGUCUUUUUGGAACCACAACCCUCCAACUUUGAAGAGGGGUACAGCCUAAUAAAUUAUCUGGAUGUUUGAAGAAUAAAGGAAUACGGUAUUUUCAGUCA